UAGCAAUUUCGUGACGACAAUUCAUAAUUUUUUCCACUAUACCAUUUUCCCUUCCUCCACUACAAUCUAACCAGCCCAUUGUAAUUGAUUCCACAAGACCCGCUUGUCCAAUCUAUCUCUUAUCAAAACGAAAUUGUCCUUUCCUCCUGACAACUUUAUCCUCCAAGUGAGCCACUACUGGGCGAUGGUCAGAUGCCACCAUCUCUAAAUAUUAUGUAUAAGAACAUGGAAAUAAAGUGUGCCACUCCUCGUUUGCUAAAGCAC
rnacentral:lncRNA from 1 species